AGCGAUGUGCUUCCGCCCGCGUGGGAAAAGUAGUCCCGACGCGGUGGUUAAAGUCCGGCUCCGAGCUGGCAGCGAGGGGAAGGGCCGCGGCGGGAGGGCGACGUACGGGCAGCGGGAGCGCUCCCGGGCCGUCUGCGGCUUUUUUUUUUGGGGGGGUUGGGGGCGGGCCGCGCUGAGGUGAGGUGCGGAGGGAUCCGAGCGGCCUGGGGCAGCGGCGAUGCGGCCCUGUGAGAGAGCUGGCGGCGGCUGAGCGGGCUGAGGGUACGCAGCGCGGCCGGCCCGGGGCGCUGCCGCCGGCAGGACAUCUUCCCUCAGCAAGGCCACCUGUGUCUGAUGGCAAGGGGCUGCUCAGUGAACUGAGAAGACGUGUGACUUCUGAAUGAAAGCAGUAACUGGCCCUCGGUUACUGGAAUCAUUUCAAGUGUUCUUUGUUCCUGACACCACAUGAAUUUUAGGGGGAGAGAAACCGAAUCUCAGGCUGCAGAGUUAUAGAAAUCUCUGGUGUUUGAGCCUUCUGAGUCCUUUCAACUUUGUCACCAAGACAGUGGAAGAUCCCCAGCUUCCCUUCUUCCCUGCGGUGCUCCCGAAGGGAAGAGCUGUGGGGUAGGAGCAGCUCUAUGAGGAGUCCAGAGAUUGCCAUAACCAGAGGUAUGGAGAACUUGGUGGCUGGCUCCACCCUUCCUCCACUUUUUGCAGAUGAAGAUGGAUCUAAGGAAGGUAGUGAUAUUACUGUGACUGGAGUAGCUCAUUCUGAGAGUUCAUUCACUGGUGGAGCUUCACAGUCUGUGAAUAACCCAGAUUUGGUGGAGGAUUUGUCACAGGUUCAGCAGCUGCAAAAUGAGUCUUCUAAUACUGCUGAAAACACUGAGCAGAAACCUGAGGAGGAGCAGCAAAGAACUAAACGAGGAGGCUGGGCCAAAGGGAGAAAGAGGAAGAAACCUCUUAGGGACAGCAAUGCCCCCAAAUCCCCCCUCACAGGGUAUGUGAGAUUCAUGAAUGAGCGUAGGGAGCAGCUUCGAGCGAAGAGGCCUGAAGUCCCUUUCCCAGAGAUCACCAGGAUGCUGGGCAAUGAAUGGAGUAAACUGCCUCCUGAGGAGAAACGGCGAUACCUUGAUGAAGCAGAUAGAGAUAAGGAGCGUUAUAUGCGGGAACUGGAGCAGUAUCAGAAGACUGAAGCCUACAAAGUCUUCAGCAGAAAAGCGCAGGACAGACAAAAAGGCAAAUCACACCGACAAGAUGGAGCAAGACAGCCAGUCCAUGAUCACGAGAAAGAAGCAGACACAAAAGAGAGAUCUGUUUUUGAUAUUCCAAUAUUCACAGAAGAGUUUCUGAAUCACAGUAAAGCACGUGAAGCUGAGCUGCGACAGCUGCGUAAAUCCAACAUGGAGUUUGAGGAGAGGAAUGCUGCUCUGCAGAAACAUGUUGAGAGUAUGCGUACUGCAGUGGAGAAACUGGAGGUGGAUGUGAUACAAGAGCGUAGCCGCAAUACAGUGUUGCAACAGCAUCUUGAGACCUUACGGCAGGCACUCACAACCAGCUUUGCUGGAGUCCCACUGCCAGGUAGCGGAGAAACACCUACAAUGGAAACUAUCGAUUCCUACAUGAAUAGGCUGCAUGGUAUUAUUAUGGCUAACCCACAGGAGAACGAGAACCUCAUAGCCACGGUCCGAGAUGUGGUGAACCGACUUGAACGCUAGUGACUGGACGCCUGCCGUUCAGAAGCUGACCUUUUCGGCUUCUUCCUUCUUGGCCUUCGGAAAUAUCUUCAGAUCUCUGGCAGACCUGGAGAAUCACACUGGUGCUCUGUCUCUGUUAAGGGACGGGAAGAUGCUGCUGCAGUACAGACAAGCCCACAGCCUUUAGAACAGUCCACACACCCAGACGUGUGAUGCUGGAAUCCAUACACGAGCCCGGGUAUUGCAUUGAUGCUUGCAGGCUCCGAGAAGAAAGGACGUGUUUGCCUCCGGGAAGAGGAUCCCUCUAGUUAGGAGCAGAGGAGAAAAAAGGCAAAAGCUGGUAAAGCUUUAGCACCUGCCUCAAGCAUAGUUCAGCUGAUGAGAAACACCGGUCAGUGCUCUCAGCAAGGGACCUGAUUCCAACCAUCAUGCUUGGACUGAGACAGGUAUGAGGUGUGAAUAGCACAGUGCUUUCUCCCCUUCAUGCUGGGCAUACUCUGCUACCUCCUGAUCUUGAUGCAGGACUCUUAUGAUUUCCAUACAACCAUCUCAUAUCAAAGCCAAGUGGAUAAAACCCCAUCUACAUCAGCAUCACAAGGAAACAUUCAGGCUAGAAUCCAACAACGCAAACGCCAGCCAGAAAGCUGCUGUUUUCUUCUUAACACUUGUUAUCAGUGAGCUGUGUAUGCUUGGGGAGCAAAGCACAGUGACAGUGCCUUGUCACACUGGCAAGACAGGGUCGUGUUCAGGACUGCGUAAGGUGAAGAGCACAAGAGUACAGCACCUUCAGCAGAGUGAAUCAGAACCUCGUGGGACCAGACCUUUAUCUUCUUGGCGGAUGCAACUAUCAAUUGAUAGCUCAGAGCGGAUGUUGCUGUCGUGGUCUGGUCCUUCGGUGGGAGAAAAACACCUCUGCUGCUUUGAAAAGGCGAUUCCUGGAGCCUGUGGCAGGUCAUGCUGCAUGUCGAGAACCAUUCAAGAAAACUCAUCUGGAGCAGCUGCGUGUCUCGUGGGUGCCCCUGGAGAGCUGGAGGCCAUGGACUAGGUGGCGUUUUUUUCCCUCAAAGCAGCAAGCCCUGACCCAUCAGUAGGAAGUUUCCCAAUGCUGCUCUGCUGCUGGCUUGAAAGUGAGAGCUCUGGGUGCAUGGACCCGCAGACACCUGGGACAUGAAGACAUUUUGCAGUUUUGCCUCAAGAGCAACCCAUCAGGCUUGCUGCGGAGCAGGAUGAAGAGCCUGCAGCUUCUUUCUGAGCUGCUCCUGCCUCUUUCUGCGUGGUAGCAGCUCUCUGCCAGGCUGGAGCCAUGCCCAGGAAUUCUCUUCGUGCGGAACCAAGGAGGAGAUUUGUUUGCUCCAAGGCAAACAGCCUGGCCCUGCCCAACGCACAUGAUGAGAUCUCUGGAGAGGCUGGUCACAGGGAGCAGAGCACCUGACGGGGACCCACGGCUGCCACCCUGGUUUAGGUCCCCCCAGAGCCCCCAGCUCCUGCGCAAACCCACCGAGAAACUCAGCUGGCAAACCUCAGGAGGAGAACAAUCUGCAGCUGGUCGCAGUGGCGGGGACACUGUGUUUUAGUUGAGCCAUGAAAAUUGCUGAGCCGAGAUGCUGGCCCCUCUAAAAUGCUUUUCUUCUGCUCCAUCCAUCUGCUUUAAUCACAUGGUGAAUGAAAAAAAAAAGAAAAAAAAAUCCAGUUCACAAAGCAUCGAAGAUUUAAAAAAAAAUUGACUGCAGGUAACAAACUGUGUGCAGGCGACAGUGCCGCGGAGCAGCGGGCAAACUCGCUAAUGAGGGACUUUGAGGUGUAGCUCGGGUGGCUUUCUCCAGGGCAGGGAGCAAGGAUGGAGGGGCUGGGGGUGCACAUGGGUCGUGGCGGUGCGUGGCAGGGCCCUGGGGCUUUGCAGGGAUGUGCGGAGGGUGGACUUGCCUUGGGAGCCCUCCAUGUGACGCACGGAGUGGGCACGGGCAGGGGGCUCGUGGCAGUGGCUUGCACGGGGAAAGGCAGGCUUGUGGCAUGUGUGUGUUGGGUGUUCGGUGUCCAGGAAGGGGCUGAGGGCUGGGAGAAAUGGUGUGGUAGCACAGCCAAGCCCUUUUGCACAAAGAAAGAAUUUUCUCUCUUUUUUAAAGCUUCUUUUUAACAGUGAAAGACUUGGUUCCUCCCUUUGAUUGCUGGGAUACUGCUGUAUGCUGCAAAUACCUUGUUGGACUUGGAUAUUAGUGCGUGUUUUUUUUUUUUUUUUUUAAUCUGUGUGUGUUGAAUUAGCUCUUUUAAUUACAGCAUUAAAAAAGGAUAACUGGAGUCAAUUAAAAAGCUCUUCCAGGCUGCCAGUGUUAAUAGCUGUCCAGGAACACAGAGACCCCCCUCCACCUCUCUGCCGUCUGCUGAACCGCCGAGUGAGUUAUUGUCAGUCCUGGCAGCAGAGCUCAAGCAGAGAUUUCUGCACCUCGUAUGUGGCUGGGCACAGCUUGCUCGGCUGUGCUCGGCUUGGCAUCGUCCUCUGCAGGGCUGAGGCUUUGCUACAGCCUGGCCCCGCGUCCCCUCCUCUCCUAGGACAGUGCCGCUCCGAAAUCGAAUGGGAUCUGCAUCUCGGACGGGGCCGGGAGCACCUGCCUGCAGCUUGUGAGUUGUUAUUUGUGGUUUCGUAUCGAGCUCGCUGAAAAUGAUGGUUAAACACAGGUGGGAGGGGAGGCUGGCAAGGAGGCUUUUUCCUUUGGCUCUUUUUAAAAGCAAAGCAAAAGGCUUCAAAAAGGGUUCGGCUUCAAAAUUGCAAAGGAAGGAUGGGUUGGAGAGGAGGAACUAAGAAAUCAAGCGUCUGAAACCUGCUGUGGAGAAAGCAAUGCAAAAUGUUUUGUUUCAAGGUGAAUGGAAAGCUGAAACCAGCAGAAAAUCCCCCCCUCCCUAUGAGCACAGAUGUUUCGGGUUGGUUUUUCUAGAUUAGCACAUUGCUGGAAGAAAAGAAAAUCCAUUCUUUCCUCUGUCGGCGCUCCAGGUUGCUGUCGCUUAUUUUUUUAUCACGUUGUAGUGACUUUGAUCUCUGAAGACUCCUUAAGUGCUUUACAAAUCAAGCAUGCAAAUCUGGGCUCAUCCACCUCUGAGAUGCCGCCAUGGCCAGGGCAUCCUGCCGGCGUGGUCCCAUGCUUCUGAAAACCUCCAGCACCCCGUGCACCUGUGUCACAGGGACAUUUUGUGCUUCCAACGCAGCCAGGAACUGGUGCGAAGGCCACUGGGCUGUGCUGUGGUCCCUGAGUGGUGCCAGCCCUGCUCCUCCCACGCAAAGGAGGUGGCUUUUGCCCCGCCCUGCACCCGAACUUCUGGGAAAUUGCCACAAACUGACCAGGAGCAGCUGAGCUGGUUUGAUGAAACGGGUUUUAUUUUCAAAGCUUGACUUGAAACACCUCUUUCCCCAUCAUACUCUCUCUAUAUCACUCUCUCCCCAUGUGUUUGCCCGUCUGGCUGGCAAUGCCACCAGGGACCCCUGUUCUUCUUUUCCAGGCAAUGCAGAUCUGCCAACACCGAGCACCAGAGCUGAGCGAAGGGAGGUCACUCCCAGGACCAGACACCAUGGUGAUGGGCACCCUGGGGCUAGCACUGGGGCAGGCGGCGCGAUGGCAGCCUGUGCCUCCUCCCUGCUGCAGCCCCGGGCCUGUUCUCCUCUGGCUUGGGCAGCGUGGAUGUGUGUGCAUUUAUAUAUGCAUGUAAUGAAGCUAAAUUCCCUCUGGGGAGUACCGAGGGGGCCAGGGCACUGCCUGCUUGUGCUGCAAGGUUUAAGGGCUGAGCUCACCACAGAGGUGGGCGUUUGGGGAAUCGGCUGGAAAAUACAGCUAGUCCUCAGCAAAAGUCCUCAUCUCGUAGCGAGAUGGCUGGGAAGUACCUCCGAGGUGACAGCGUCGGAGGGCGGGAACGGAGUACUCGCCAGUGAUACAGAGCUGGACAGAUCAAGAAGUCAAGAUUUUGCAUUCCAACUAUCUAUAGGAAAUAGGGUUUUUUUUAUUAUUUCAAGUUUUCAUAAAAAUCCAUAAUUAUUGAAAUCAAAGUUACAGAAGAAAGUUUGUAACUUUUUAUUGAUUUUAUUUCUUUUUUUUUUCUUUCUUCCCCCCCGUUGUUUUUCCCUCUUGGAGUUAUAUCUGACACCAGAGUCCAUCAGACAAAGUCUUU